CACCACUGUUGUGCGUUUCCUCAUUUGCCUAUUUAUAUAGUACAUCAAGGACUACCGUCUAGGACAGUGGUCACCAACCGGUCGAUCCCGAUCUCCAAGAAAUUACUAAUCGAUCGCCUUGCGUUCCUGUUUUUGUUUGUUUUAUUAGUUUCACGCGGUUUGUAGUAGGUGCACUUAAUUCAGGUGCCCUCGCGCCGGGAAGUCGACGUAUUCCCUUUUUGAACCAUUUCAUGUGUCUGAAGGUACAAACUCCGCCUACUCAGCGACCCCAAUCAAGUGCACAUAUAUCGGCCAACAGCAGGCCAUUCAGAACUCGGAUCACCGUGCAUCUUCCAUGAGACGAUAGAGAAGCCUGAGCAGCGUUUCUUUCUGGUUCUGACGAGAAAAAUAUAAUACUGUCUGGGGAGGUUCUCUUCUGCACAACUAAUCCAGUAAAUGUGGAGGAGGAUUUAAAAUGCGGUGUUGCCUUGUGAACAUCCAAAAGCAGAAGUUGCGUCUUAUUUGUAGCACUGGUGCUCCUAACUUCAAAAAGCCCAGAGGAUGUGGAUAGAGUGGCCCUACAGGGGUUGACCCUGAACCAGACUCCCUGCCCUCCCCACCCCCAGACAGCAACCGACUACAGCCCUGCGACCCACCACCAAGCCCCCGUCAAAUGGGUUCGCCACAUCAUCCGCAGCGUGGAGGAGCAGUUUGUCGACGCAGAGGAUUGAGGUCCGGUGUGUCCUGAUACACUUUUUAUUAGUUAACUCUUUAAUCGUAAGCUCUUAGGAAUGAUAUUUUAGUUGGUUUCUCAGGUGUCAGGGUUAGGGUUAGUAUUACUUGUUCCUUGGUUUGUUAAUGAAUUAGGAUGUCAUAUUUGUAGCCUCGUUGACAGUUGGGUUACAUGUUAACAAUUCAUUAUUUUUUUUGUGAAUCAUUUCAAUAGAUGUGUAGUCUAACUCUUAACUAAAAGAGAAAUUGUAGUUUUUAUCUUAUUUUUUAAAUACUUUUGUUUUAAAAGCAAUCACCUGAUAUAGGCCCAUGUGUUCAAGUGUCACUCCCUUUAAAAUCAUAUGUGUUAAAAUGGAGAGGGCACAGUGCAAGAAUAAGUAUGUUUGGAUAUAUUCUCAAAUGGAUUUUCCUGAUUGAUUCUGAGCCCAUGGAGAGCAAGAGGUCAGGUUGCCAUGACUACAGCACCCUGUAAGACACCACCCACUGGGCACAGAUGUCAAUUCAACGUCUAUUCCAAGUUGGUUCAAUGUAAUUUCAUUGAAAUGGUGUGGAAACAAUGUUGAUUCAACCAGUGUGCGCUCAGUGGAAAUGAAAUUCAGCUUUUGAGAUCCAAGAUAUCUUUAAUGCAAAUAAACCAUGCAUUUUAACAACAAAACUCUACACUGAUGCAUCAUUCCCACAGUGUUUUGGUUGUAGUGGUAGUAGUUCAGAAGAGAAAAUUGUAGCAUUAGAUGCCC
ensembl:lncRNA